UACAGAGGUCCCAAGCGUUGUUCGGAUUCAUUGGGCGUAAAGGGUGCGUAGGCGGCGCGGUAAGUCGGGUGUGAAAUCUCGGGGCUUAACUCCGAAACUGCAUUCGAUACUGCCGUGCUUGAGGACUGGAGAGGAGACUGGAAUUUACGGUGUAGCGGUGGAAUGCGCAGAUAUCAGGAGGAACACCAAUUGCGAAGGCAGCUCGCUGGGACGUUACUGACGCUGAGACGCGAAAGCGUGGGGAGCAAACAGG
rnacentral:rRNA from 1 species